UACACGUUGGAAUUAACG
rnacentral:snRNA from 1 species